GUCCCCAUCGUCUAGCGGCCAAGGACGUUUGGUUCUCAUCCAGAAAACACAGGUUCGACUCCUGUUGGGGACG
rnacentral:tRNA from 1 species